GACGAACGCUGGCGGCGUGCUUAACACAUGCCAGUCGAACGGAAAGGCCCUGUUCUUGUGGGGUACUCGAGUGGCGAACGGGAGAGUAACACGUGAGUAACCUGACCACGACUUUGGGAUAACUUUAGGAAACUGGGGCCAAUACCGGAUAAGAGCUACUGCGGCCAGGUGGGGGCUGGCAAGUGUCGGCGGUUGGGGAUGGACAAGCGGCUUAUAAGCUUGUUGGUGGGGUAGUGGCAGACCAAGGGUUUGACGGGUAGCCGGCCUGAGAGGGUGACCGGCCGCCAUGGUGCUGAGGUGCGGCCCAGACUCCUACGGGAGGCAGCAGUGGUGAAUAUUGCACAAUGGGCGGAGGCCUGAUGCAGCAGCGCCGCGUGCGGGAUGACGGCCUUCGGGUUGUAGUCCGCUUUCGCCUGUGACGAAGCGUGAGUGACGGUAAUGGGUAAAGAAGCACCGGCUAACUACGUG
rnacentral:rRNA from 1 species